rnacentral:piRNA from 1 species
UGGCUGCCCAGUCUGGAAAGUGAGGAGC